UACGUAGGGUCCGAGCGUUGUCCGGAAUUAUUGGGCGUAAAGAGCUCGUAGGCGGUCUGUCACGUCGGCUGUGAAAACCCGGGGCUCAACCCCGGGCCUGCAGUCGAUACGGGCAGACUAGAGUUCGGUAGGGGAGACUGGAAUUCCUGGUGUAGCGGUGAAAUGCGCAGAUAUCAGGAGGAACACCGGUGGCGAAGGCGGGUCUCUGGGCCGAAACUGACGCUGAGGAGCGAAAGCCAGGGGAGCAAACGGG
rnacentral:rRNA from 1 species